rnacentral:rRNA from 1 species
AGGGUGUAAACGCUGCAGACUUGGUGUUGGAAAUCCUUCGAGGGUAUUCAGUGCCGGAGAGAAGUUGUUAAGUCUGCUACUUGGGGAGUACGUCCGCAAGGAUGAAACUUAAAGGAAUUGGCGGGGGAGCACCACAACGGGUGGAGCCUGCGGUUUAAUCGGACUCAACGCCGGGAAUCUCACCGGAUAAGACAGCGGAAUGAUUGCCGGGCUGAAGACCCUGCAUGACCAGCUGAGAGGUGGUGCAUGGCGUAGUCGUGU